rnacentral:rRNA from 1 species
AGUGAACGCUGGCGGCGUGCCUAAUACAUGCAAGUCGAGCGGAGUGGCGCACGGGUGAGUAAUGUAUAGCUAAUCUGCCCUACACUAGAAGACAACAGUUGGUAACGGCUGCUAAUACUCCAUAGUGUAGGAUGAGGCUAUAUUGUAUCAGUUAGCUGGUGAGGUAAUGGCUCACCAAGGCUAUGACGCAUAACUGGUCUGAGGGGAUGAGCAGUCACACUGGAACGGAGACACGGUCCAGACUCCUACGGGAGGGAGCAGUAGGGAAUAGUGCUCAAUGGGGGAAACCCUGAAGCAGCAACGGCGCGUAGAGGAUGACACUUUUCGGAGCGUAAACUCCUUUUGUUAGGGAAGCGGUACCUAACGAAUAAGCACCGGCUAACUCCGUGCCAGCAGCCGCGGUAAUUC